rnacentral:rRNA from 1 species
UGGGGAAUAUUGGACAAUGGGCGAAAGCCUGAUCCAGCCAUGCCGCGUGUGUGAAGAAGGUCUUCGGAUUGUAAAGCACUUUAAGUUGGGAGGAAGGGCAGUAAGCGAAUACCUUGCUGUUUUGACGUUACCGACAGAAUAAGCACCGGCUAACUCUGUGCCAGCAGCCGCGGUAAUACAGAGGGUGCAAGCGUUCAUCUGAAUUACUGGGCGUAAAGCGCGCGUAGGUGGUUCGUUAAGUUGAAUGUGAAAGCCCCGGGCUCAACCUGGGAACUGCAUCCAAAACUGGCGAGCUAGAGUAGGGCAGAGGGUGGUGGAAUUUCCUGUGUAGCGGUGAAAUACGUAGAUAUAGGAAGGAACACCAGUGGCGAAGGCGACCACCUGGGCUCAUACUGACACUGAGGUGCGAAAGCGUGGGGAGCAAACAGG